UUCGAGGUGGCCCUCUGGUCCGGCUUUAGAACUCUGCGGUUUUGUGGAGCUCGAGAGUCCGGGACAAGAUAUCUAUUGGAUGCUGAUGAUUAUGAAACAAAGUAGCAAAGAUAAGAAGCCAUUUGCUCAUUCUGCUCCUUUGCCAGCAAUAUUUCACAAAGCCCCUGACUCAUUGACUGUGAGCAGCCUUGUGGAAGAAUGCCUUGAAGACCAUAAGCAGGAUAGGGAAUAGGUUUGCACAUCUCUUGCCUGAAUCACUGAAUUUUUACAAAAGGUAAGUUUGGUGAUCCUAGCCCUUGCCUCUUCCUGUACAUAAGAUAAUGUCUGACAAGAUUAAUGAUUAUGCCUCAAAUUCAUGACCAGAUGUAACUUCAUACCCACACUUUGAUGAGACUUUACUUGUAUUAACCCAUUUUCAUACUGCUAUGAAGAAAUACCCAAGACUGCAUAAUUUCUAAAGAAAAAGGCUUAGUGGACUCACAGUUCCACAUGGCUGGGGAAGCCUCACAAUCAUGGUAGAAGAUGAAGAAGGAGCAAAGGCACAUCUUACAUGGCAGCAGGUGAGAGAGCAUGUGCAGAGGAACUACCCUUUAUAAAACCAUCAGAGGCCAGGUGCAGUGGCUCACACCUGUAAUCCUAGCACUUUGGGAGGCCGAGGCAGGCAGAUCAUCUGAGGUCAGGCAUUCAAGACCAGCCUGGCCAACAUGGCAAAACCCCAUGUUUCAAAAUUAGCUCAGUGUGGGGGCACAUGCCUGUAAUACCAGCUACUAGGGAGGCUGAGGCAGGAGAAUCGCUUGAACCUGGGAGGCAGAGGUUGCAGUGAGCCAAGAUCACGCUACUGUACUCCAGCCUGGGCAACAGAGCCAGACUUUGUCUCAAAAAAUAAAAUGAAAUAAAAUAAAAAUAAAUAAAUAGAUAGAUAAAUAAAACCAUCAGAGCUCGUGAGAACUCACUACCAUGACAACAUGAGGGUAACUGAUCCCAUAAUUAAAUUACUUCCCAUCAGGUCCCUCCCUUGACACUUGGGGAUUAUGGGAGCUACAAUUCAAGAUGAGAUUUGGGUUGGGACACAGCCAAACCAUAUCAUUCCACCCUGGCCCCUCCAAAAUCUCCUGUCCUCACAUUUCAAAAGCAAUCAUGCCUUACCAGCAGUCCCCCAAAGUCUUAACUCAUUUCAGCAUUAACUCAAAAGUCUACAGUCCAAAGUCUCAUCUGAGACAAGGCAAGUCCCUUCUGCCUAUGAGCUUGUAAAAUCAUAAGCAAGUUAAGUUACUUCCUAAAUACAAUGGGGGUACAAGCAUUGGGUAAAUACACCCAUUCCAAAUGGGAGAAAUAGGCCAAAAUGAAGGGACUACAGGGCCCAUGCAAGUCCAAAAUCCAGCAGGGCAGUCAAAUCUUAAAGCUCCAAAAUGAUCUGCUUUGACUCCGUGUCUCACAUCCAGUUCACGUUGAUACAAGAGGUAGGUUGCCAUGGUCUUGGGCAGCUCUGCCCCUGUGGCUUUGCAAGAUACAGCCUCCUUCCCAGCUGCUUUAACAGGCUGGCAUUGAGUGUCUCUGGCUUUCCCAGGCAUAUGCUGCAAGCUGUUGGUGGAUCUACCAUCCUGGGGUCUGGAGGAUGGUGGCCCUCUUCUCACAGCUCCACUAGGCACUGCCCCAGUGGGGACUCUGUGUGGGGGAUCCCACCCCACAUUUCCCUUCUGCAUUGCCCUUCUGCCUUAGCAGAGGUCGUGCAUGAGGGCCCUGCCCCUGCAGCACACCUCUGCCUGAACAUCCGGGUGUUUCCAUACAUCCUCUGAAAUCUAGGCAGGGUUCCCAAACCUCAAUUCUUGACUUCCGUGCACCCACAGUCCCAAUAUCACAUGUGAGCAGCCUGAGACUGCACAAAGCAGCAAGGCCCUGGGCCCAGCCCAUAAACCCAUUUUUCCUCCUUGGCCUCCUGGCUUGUGAUGAGAGGGACUUCCAGGAAGACCUCUUACAUGCCCUGGAGACAUUUUUCCCAUUGUCGUGGUAAUUAACAUGUGGCUUCUUGUUACUUAUGCAAAUUUCUGCAGCAGGCUUGAAUUUCUCCGCAAAAAAUGGGUUUUUCUUUUCUAUCACGUCAUCAGGCUGCAAGUUUUCCUUUUAUGCUCUGCUUCCUCUUGAACGCUUUGCCACUUAGAAAUUUCUUCCCUCAGGUACCCUAAAUCAUCUCUCUAAAGUUCAAAGUUCCACAGAUAACUAGGGCAGGGGCAAAAUGCCACCAGUCUCUUUGCUAAAGCAUAGCAAGAGUGACCUUUAUUCCAUUUCCCAACAAGUUCCUCAUCUCCAUCUGAGACCACCUCAGCCUGGACUUCUUUGUCCGUAUCCCUAUUAGCCUUCUGAUCAAAGCCAUUCAACAAGUCUCUAGGAAGUUCCAAACUUUCCUACAUCUUUCUGUCUUCUGAGCCCUCCAAGUCUCUAGGAAGUUCCAGAGUUUCCCACAUUUUCCUGUCUUCUUCUGAGCCCUCCAAACUGUUCCAACCUCUGCCUGUUACCCUGUUCCAAAGUUGCUUCAACAUUUUCUGUUAACCUUAUAGCAGAGCCCCACUACCUCAGUUCCAAUUUACUGUAUUAGUCCAUUUUCAUACUACUGUGAAGAAAUAGCCAAGACUGGGUAAUUUAUAAAGAAAAAGAGGUUCAGUGGACUCACAGUUCCACAUGGCUGGGGAGGCCUCACAAUCGUGACAGAAGGCAAAGGAGGAGCAAAGACACAUCUUACCUGGCAGCAAGGCAAGAGAGAGAGCAUGUGCGGAGGAACUGCCCUUUAUGAAACCAUCAGAUUUCCUGAGAUUUAUUCACUAUCAUGAGACCAGCAGGGGAAAAACUUGCCCCCAUGAUUAAAUUACUUCCCACCGGGUCCUACCAUUGACACAUGGGGAUUAUGGGAGCUACAAUUCAAGAUGAGAUUUGAGUGGGGACACAGCCAAACCAUGUCAUUAAUGUAAUUUCUGAGCACAUUUGAUGUAACUUCUUAACACAUGCAGAGCAACCACCACCUAUGUUUAAGCUAUGGGGUGAAUCAAUGCUUUGCAGCAAUAUAACAAACUCUUUGAAAGAUUCUCCCAGGUUGCAGUACUCAGUAGGACUUCUGAAUAAAAUUAACUUUAAUUAUUUAAAAGCCUGUUUUUUUUUCUUUAGUUGACAUAACAUACCAGGAUAUUGUAGCUGGAAAUACAUAGGAGGUUCUUGCUCUCACGAACCUUACAUUCCAGUAAGGAAAACAGACAAUAAGAAAAAAGAAAAAUGAAUACAAUAAAUUCUCAUGGUGAUACAAAUAAGGUAAGAUGACAGAAACUGAAGGGAGAGGGAGACACUACUUCAGUGAGGUGGUCAGUGAAAACCUCUCUGCAAAGGUGGUGUGAAAUCUGAGACCUGAAUGACAAGAAAGAACUAGCGAUGCAAACAUCUGCGGGUGGCACAUUUCUAAUAUUUAUUUUUUACUAGUUUUAUUUUGUGUUAAUUUUACGUUUAACUAUCUGGAAUAUAUUUUGGUACAGGAGUCCCCCUUAUCCAAGGGGGAUAUGUAUCAAGCCCCCCAGUGGAUACCUGAAAUCACAGAUAGCGCUGAAC
rnacentral:lncRNA from 10 species